AGAAUCAACGCUGGCGGCGUGCCUAACACAUGCAAGUCGCACGAGAAAGGGGACUUCGGUCCCUGAGUACAGUGGCGCACGGGUGAGUAACACGUGAAUCAUCUACCUUCGAGUGGGGAAUAACUGAGAGAAAUCUUAGCUAAUACCGCAUAAUACCUACGGGUCAAAGCAGCAAUGCGCUUGAAGAGGAGUUCGCGGCAGAUUAGUUAGUUGGCGGGGUAACGGCCCACCAAGACGAUGAUCUGUA
rnacentral:rRNA from 1 species